AGGUGCCUACGGGGCGCAGCAGUGGGGGAUAUUGCACAAUGGGGGAAACCCUGAUGCAGCAACGCCGCGUGAGGGAAGAAGGUCUUCGGAUUGUAAACCUUUGUUUUUGGUGACGAAAGAAAUGACGGUAGCCAAAGAGGAAGCUCCGGCUAACUACGUGCCAGCAGCCGCGGUAAUACGUAGGGAGCGAGCGUUGUCCGGAAUUACUGGGUGUAAAGGGUGCGCAGGCGGGACAUUAAGGUGGAUGGGAAAUGCCGGGGCUCAACCCCGGGGCUGCAUCCAAAACUGAAGUUCUUGAGUGAAGG
rnacentral:rRNA from 1 species